AAAACAUAGCCCUAAGGAGUGGUUUAGGGUGAGGCCUGCCCAAUGAGUAAUAUUUUAAUGGCCGCGGUACUUUGACCGUGCUAAGGUAGCAUAAUCAGUUGACUUUUGAAUGAAGUCUGGAAUGAAUGGGAGAACGGAAUUAAGCUGUCUCAAUACUCUUUAUUACGAAUUUACUAAUUAAGUGAAAAGGCUUAAAAAAGAUAAAAGACGAGAAGACCCUGAGAGUUUUGUUAUAAUUUCGUUGGGGCGACGGAUAAUCAGUGGAACAUUCUCUCUUAACAGGACGGUUUUAUCAUGAAAGGAUAAACUACCUCAGGGAUAACAGCAUAAUCUUUUUAGGUUUGUGACCUCGAUGUUGGACUA
rnacentral:rRNA from 1 species